rnacentral:rRNA from 1 species
GUGUCAGCAGCCGCGGUAAUACGUAGGGGGCAAGCGUUGUCCGGAAUUAUUGGGCGUAAAGCGCGCGCAGGCGGUGCUUUAAGUUGGGGGUCAAAGGCAGUGGCUCAACCACUGUACGCCUCCAAAACUGGAGCACUUGAGUGCAGGAGAGGGGAGUGGAAUUCCCGGUGUAGCGGUGGAAUGCGUAGAGAUCGGGAGGAACACCUGUGGCGAAGGCGACUCUCUGGCCUGUAACUGACGCUGAGGCGCGAAAGCGUGGGGAGCAAACAGGAUUAGAUACCCUCGUAGUCC